rnacentral:tRNA from 1 species
UCCCUGGUGGCCUAGCGGUUAAGGAUCAGUGUUGUCACUGCUGUGGCCCAGGUUCCAUCCCUGGCUAGGGAA